rnacentral:rRNA from 1 species
CGACCCCAGGUCAGGCGGGACCACCCGCUGAGUUUA